rnacentral:rRNA from 1 species
AUUGAACGCUGGCGGUAGGCCUAACACAUGCAAGUCGAACGGCAGCACAGUAAGAGCUUGCUCUUACGGGUGGCGAGUGGCGGACGGGUGAGGAAUACAUCGGAAUCUACUUUUUCGUGGGGGAUAACGUAGGGAAACUUACGCUAAUACCGCAUACGACCUACGGGUGAAAGCAGGGGAUCUUCCGACCUUGCGCGAUUGAAUGAGCCGAUGUCGGAUUAGCUAGUUGGCGGGGUAAAGGCCCACCAAGGCGACGAUCCGUAGCUGGUCUGAGAGGAUGAUCAGCCACACUGGAACUGAGACACGGUCCAGACUCCUACGGGAGGCAGCAGUGGGGAAUUUUGGACAAUGGGCGCAAGCCUGAUCCAGCCAUACCGCGUGGGGGAAGAAGGCCUUCGGGUUGUAAAGCCCUUUUGUUGGGAAAGAAAAGCAGCAGGUUAAUACCCCGCUGUGCUGACGGUACCCAAAGAAUAAGCACCGGCUAACUUCGUG